GGUGGUGCAGGGCAGGAGCGGCGGCGCUUCCCGGGACGCCGAGCUGCCGUGCCCGGGAGCAGCGGGGGACGAGCAGAAGCGGGGCCCGGCUGCGGUGAGACAAUGGAGGAGCCGAGCGGUUGCGGUGGCCGCAGCCGCGCUGAAGGGUUGACUGAAUUGGAAUCCGGAGCAUCCUGAGGCUCCUGGUGCUUGCGGCUGUGGCGUUCGGCAGGUGGAAAACGUCGCUGUCUGUCUGACCUGCCUUUGGAUGUCACUGGGAAGUGUGGGACAAGAACUGAACCAUAACUUCUCGCAAGCCCUGUCAGGGAGAGGAGCAGCAAAUUGUGCUAGAAGAGUUCCCAUGUGUACCUGUGAGGUGAUGAUCUACAGUUUUAAAAUGAAUCUGGAAAGGAAACCACGUUAUUUUGAAGGAAAACCUCAGGUGGAACUCAUGAGAAAGAUGAUUUGAUGAGAGAUUUCUUGACAGCAAGAAAUAUGUUGAUGUUGGUUUUUUUUACAUGAGCAAAGCAUCUGGAAACACUCCAGGAAGGCGAUGGAAGGUUAGUGAGGAGCUGAGGACACGCUUGGGAUCGCUGCUGCCUCGUCUGCCACUCCCACACUCCCAACUGGUUGUCUCAGGAUGGUUUGGCUCAAGUUAAAAUUGCUGCUUUCUGCAGAGCUGCAUCUAUAUUCUUCAGUUCCAAGGGAGGAUUGUCCUGAGUUCUUGGCUUUUAAAGAGCUUUCGUUUUGCCCCAGGAAGAGCAUUGUGGUCUUGGUGUUCAGAAUAGUGCCUCCGGUCCCUUUUUCAAGGAGAGGGCAGAGCUUGGACUUCUCUCUCCUAGGUGGCCUUGGUGCUCAAGACAAGUCCUGCAGGGGCCUGCAAAGGCACGGCUGGGUGCUCUGCAAGGCAGGAGUGGUUCUGACCUGAUAUCCUGGUUUUGGCUGGGACACAGACUGGAUGAUCAGCCCUGCUGAUCUACUUCAUCU